UGGAUUUGCAGUGUUCUUGGUUCACUUGGCAACCAUCCCCAUAACAGGAACAGGCAUUAAUCCUGCCAGGAGCCUUGGAGCAACCAUCGUCUAUAACAGGAACCAUGCUUGGGAUGACCAUUGGAUCUUUUGGGUUCGACCCUUCAUUGGAGCUGCACUUUACCAUCAAAUUAUCAUCCGAGCCAUCCCAUUCAAGACCAAAGCUUGAAAUUAUGGUUUAUGGCCUGUAUCUAGUACCAUGUGUUUAUUGUUUUUGAUCCAUAGUAUCAUGUGUUUAUUAAUGCUAUUGACCUUAUCAAGGCUCCUGUCUUUGUCACCUACUGUAAAUUGCUGGACAAUUAGAUGCUCAAGGUUUAAAACCACCUCAACUACGGGGAACAAAUGUUUUAUUCCAUCCAUCCAUAUAAUAUAUAUUUGUUUCUGCUACAGUAUUU